GACUGGGACUGUACAUUUGUCAAAAAAUAACGCAGGUGUGCUACGGGCAGUUCAGCAAGAACAGAAAUAUCGCAUAGAGCAAAAGGAUAAAUGCUGGCUUAAUCUUAGCUUUCAGUACAAGCAGUGGAUACCUAGAAGCGC
rnacentral:ncRNA from 1 species